rnacentral:sRNA from 1 species
AUGGCGCUACGCUUAUUCGGCCUGGGUAUUGAACACGGAUAAAAAGGCGCAGGCGACUGCGCUUUUUUU